AGUUUUGUGCGCUCUAGAACUGAAAUGUGAAGGAGGAAAUACACAGAAAAAGUUCAAUGUAAAUACCAAUUAUCAAGUGAACCUCUAAACAUAUCAAAUAUACCUACACAUAUC
rnacentral:sRNA from 1 species